UACGGAGGGGGCUAGCGUUGUUCGGAAUUACUGGGCGUAAAGCGCGCGUAGGCGGCUUUGUAAGUCAGAGGUGAAAGCCUGGAGCUCAACUCCAGAACUGCCUUUGAAACUACAUCGCUAGAAUCAUGGAGAGGUUAGUGGAAUUCCGAGUGUAGAGGUGAAAUUCGUAGAUAUUCGGAAGAACACCAGUGGCGAAGGCGGCUCACUGGCCCGAUACUGACGCUGAGGCACGAAAGCGUGGGGAGCAAACAGG
rnacentral:rRNA from 1 species